CUGAACAGCCAUCCCUUGAGGGAUAACACUUCCCUUUUGAACAUCCCUACAGAUGAGCAAAGUCAUCACUCUCAUUUUCUGUGGUGGUUGAAAACUGAGGCUUCCCUGUCCUACUUACAGUGUAUCCUUGAGCUACUAGGAAGAUUCAGAUACAAAUGAGGUAGAGGAAAAAAUGUUAUUGUGCAUCAUCUAAGAGAUUUUUGGACACCAUACAAAUGUCCAUGUAUCAUAGGAACUGACUGAACUAUGGAUGCACUGUGGCCUUGCAUUCUUGAGGACUUCUAUGUUGAAUGAACAUGUCAGGUGGACCCUUGUUGACGACAGCCAUUGAUGCAUGCUGUGGAACUCUGUGUCCUGACAGACACCUGGGCAGGAAACUUGAUAAGGGAAGUACCCAAAUUUAGUUGUUACCCACUCCAACAAGAGAUGAGGAAACCAAAGAUUGCAAAGCAUGGCUCAAAGAAGGAAAACAACAGUAAAGAUAGCAGCUCUUUCUCCCCCUCAAUAUCCAAAUUGUAUUUCUUUGGCAAAAUUGUUGCCUGGAGAAGCAGUCCUGCAUCAGGGUAACAAAUAGACAAUUAUGACGCUCAACCAGAUU
rnacentral:lncRNA from 1 species